UAGGAUUUAUAUUUUGCUUAAGUCAGACAUUUCCUUUCCCGAACAUAUAAUGCGGUUACAAUAACAUCACGGCUUUUAUUCUGAAAACUUCACAGGGGUGGCGAAGUUAUCUUCUCUUGUGCUCCGUGCUGUGUAUCUUCACACGAAGACAGAGGAGUGAUGGCCACGGUCUGUUCACCCCCUUCACCUCCUCCACCUCCUCCAUGCUCAUCUGGUGAAAACCAGUCUCGAUCGGACAGCCCUCCAUGCCCUAAACACGCUGCGGUGCCAUGGUCUUCUGGUGAAAACCCUCCAGGUCAGGAGAAUGGUUCACCAGGAGAGGGCUUUCAGGGGGCAGCAGCUCCAUCCCAGCUCUCAGAGCAAAACGGACCAACACAGGAACAAGAAGACAGCCUGUCUGAUACAGAGGAGAAGUGGCCAGUACAGGAGACCGACCCCGCCCGAGAGGCAUUGGAGGGCUCACAGGUAGAUUAUCGUUACAUGGUCUUUUAUCACGCAAAAAAAACAUUUUUUGCCUGUGAGAAUUUACCUGUAAUUACUCAAUGUCUCCACUUGCAGCUCUUAGAGGCACCAGAACUGCAGCAUGAAGGUGGAAACGACCAACAUCCUGAGGAUGACUUAACUGCAUAA
rnacentral:lncRNA from 1 species